GACGAACGCUGGCGGCGUGCUUAACACAUGCAAGUCGAACGGUGAAGGCGGAGCUUGCUCUGCUGGUCCAGUGGCGAACGGGUGAGUAACACGUGAGCAAUCUGCCCCUGACUCUGGGAUAAGCGCUGGAAACGGCGGCUAAUACCGGAUACGAGCUGCGAAGGCAUGUUGAGCAGCUGGAAAGUAUUUCGGUCAGGGAUGAGCUCGCGGCCUAUCAGCUUGUUGGUGGGGUAAUGGCUCACCAAGGCGUCGACGGGUAGCCGGCCUGAGAGGGUGACCGGCCACACUGGGACUGAGACACGGCCCAGACUCCUACGGGAGGCAGCAGUGGGGAAUAUUGCACAAUGGGCGGAAGCCUGAUGCAGCAACGCCGCGUGAGGGACGACGGCCCUCGGGUUGUAAACCGCUUUUGGCAGGGAAGAAGCGAGAGUGACGGUACCGGGAAAAGAAGCGCCGGCUAACUACGUG
rnacentral:rRNA from 1 species